GGAGGUAUAGCUCAGUGGUAGAGUCAGUGCCUAGCAUUCACAGGGUCCUGGGUUCAAUCCUCAGUACCUCCA
rnacentral:tRNA from 1 species